CGUCCAAUCCAGGCAGAGGAUAUACCAAACCAACCGGAAUCAACGUUAAAUAUAGAAUGCAGGACAGUUGCUUUUUCUUGUCAUUGCAUACUCUGCAAUUACAGUAAAAGUGCAGACAUCAGGAAGCAGAGCAAAUCUAGGUUCGUGUUAAGCAGGUCUGGUUUGUGAAGAUGGAGGGAGAGCAUCCUCAUGAGGAGAAGCAGACUGAAACUGCUUGCUGUGCAUCCCAAUGUCCCAAAGAUGGAGAGGAGAGGCAGGGACAAAGGGCUAUGUUAUGGUCCAUCCAGGAGGCAGUGGAGAGGCAGACCAUGCAGAUAGGAGUGUCCGCCUGUGGGGCAACGGCCGUAGUGGACGUCCUACAGGCCCUCGGCAUCAUUGUGGCACCCGAGAUGGCUGACCGGUGUGUGCGGACGUGCCUGAGGAGGAACGAGGCGCCGCUGCCYGAUUACCUGUUCUCCCGGAGCGAGGCUGGUGCCACACACGCACAGCUGAUAGCUGGGGCGGAGCAGGCCAGUGGUGGGCGCGUGCUGGGUCGCCACUUCCCCCUCCACCCUCGCCGGCGGGUGAGGCUGGUACCCUGGCUGGCACAGUGGAUCCAGAAAGGGGCAGUGCCCGUGGCCACAAUGAACAUGCAGCUGGCAGUGCCAGAGGGAGAGGAGGUUCCCGACGCAUGGCACCACCAACUCAUCUUUGGGGUCGGACCCGACACUGUCUAUAUGACCAACCCCCUGGAUGUGGUGAGUGAGCGGGAGGUGCAUCAGCGACUGCAGUGAAUCUGUGUUGCUGAUACGUCGAGAGGAUGUGCUGCUGAGAUUGACAGGUGACACCCCUCUGUCUAGCCUAUCAGACAACCAGUCUGACCCACGCUGGAAAGCCCUGGAUGUGGAGGGUCAAUUGAGGCAGAUGAUUCGUGAGGAAGACCAUGAUGAUGAAGAUCAGUUUAGGAUGAGCCAUGUCGUGAUCCCUGCAGCGUACAGUUCAGGUGUGACAGUCUUCGCCCUCAGAGACUCAGACCAAGGACAGGAGCUUCUCCACACCCCUGAACUCCCUUUGCUUUGAUAUGGCUGGACAGUGGACACAUCAUUACCAAAAAUCUUGCUGUGAUUGGACAAUGCAUAUUUGACCUUCCCGCUAYUGUUACAUGUAUUCGGUGAGGGGAAAUGUUCACAAACUGGUGAUAGAAAUGUCAUUAAUAGUGCUGACAUGGUUCCUUAUUCUACAGGUAAGAGAGGCUUGUCUGUUCUACAUAAUAUAUUUCUAUCUGAACAUCCCACAAUGUUGCACCCUGCUGAAUGUGCCCCAGGCAUAUUCAGUGAGGUGAAAUACUCAAAACAGAUAUAAACUAUAGAAUUGAUAGAGCUGACUCAAUUUCCUAUUCAGGCACAACUCAUAAUUCUGAUAUGUCUAUAAUAUUGGCCAGUCAUGUUGUACACAAUACAUUUUUAUCUGAACGUUCAGUAACGUUACUCCGACCUGAACGAGGCCCUGCUGCUGUACAGUAGGAUAUCCGUCCCUGACAGUAAUACCUUGUUUGAACACUUUUCUGGGUCGUAUUCACUGACAUCAAGCAGAAGAAAAUUAACCGAAACAGGGAGUGACUCCCUGAACUUACCCAAUAACAAACAUUAAUUUUCCUUUUCCAUUGCAUAACGUUUUGCUACAGUAUGCACUAAUGAAUACGACCCUGAUCUUAUGUGUGUGACGUUAAGAAUAGCCUACUUGAUGAAUGCCCCUGCACCAGUGGAGGCUGCUGAGUGGAGAACGGCCCGUAAUAAUGGCUGGAACUGCGCAAAUAGAAUGGCAUCAAGCACAUAGAAACCAUGUGAUUGAUGAAUGUGAUACCAUUACACUAAUUCCGCUCCAGCCAUUACCACGAGCCCGUCCUCCCCAAUUAAGGUGCCACCAACCUCCUGUGCCCUGCACAUUGAAAUGGUGCACGGUUUGAAACCCUGUCUUCUGCAGCGGGACGAUCAACCCUAAUGCGCCACUCUGUGCAAUACCAGAUAAGCUAAAUCAUGUGGCACUGGAAUGUAAAUGUGAUGCUGUGCUCAUCUACACAGAUAACGAUUAGGUAUAUAUCUGAGUGGGCUCAUGAUUUGCAGUUUUCUGUGCUCAAGAUUUUUGGCUACCACUUAUUUGGCCAGUUUCCCAGAUACAGAUUAAGCCUGGUCCUUGACUAAGAAUGAUGUUCAAUGGAGAUUCUCCAUUAACAGUAGCAGUUGAGUCCAGGACGAGGCUUAAUCUGUGUCCAGGAAACCAACCAAAUAUGAAACRAUGUUUAAAUCAAUCAACGUGUAUCUGUUGUCGUUCCAGGAUGUGAUGUUUGUCAUGUUAACUCCCUUUUAUUUGUAAGCUAUCAAAAUACAUAAAGAGAGUUGCAAGAUCUA